UUUUGAAUUCCUAGAUCAUUGGUUUAUGAUUUACUGAGCUAGUGCACUGCUUUCUAUGAAAUGAUAUUAUUAGUACUCAGUUUGCUUCCUGUUUCUCUUUUAAAGCUGCAAAGUAUUGUGAUGUUUAUAAUUGUGAUAAAGAAACCACAGAGUGCCAAGAAAAAAUGUUUCCUACAUGCGAAUGCACAGCUAAUUUCUCAAAAACUCCAUGGGAUGUUCUUUCUUGUUCAGAUUGCAGAAAAAGCUGUUCUGACGAAAGACACGAGUACUGUGCAAAAGAAGAAGGGAUUCCACAAUGCAAAUGCAAGCCUAACUUUGAAAGAAAGGAUGGAGCAUGUGUACAGUGUCCAGUGGGCUACUCUGGGGACAGCUGCAAUAACAGUAAGUACAAGAAUUUCUCGGUUUUAAUUGUAGCAUGAAAAAAUACCUGGUAAUGUUUAGUCUGCAUGAGAUAACAAAAGUAACAAGUAGAAGCCGUUAGGGGUGCCACCAUCCUCUAUUGAUACCAGGAAAGUGUUAGAAAAAAGGAGUGAAAUUCUACUGCUGCCUGGAAGGAAAAAUCGUUCUUGAAACUCAUGUUCAGACAGACAGUAGCAUUUCCUCUAAUGACCUCUGCAUUAAGCCCAGCAGUUUCCAGUCAAACACAGGUUGUUUGACAGAAAAGCAUUUAGUCCUCAUCUAAAGACAUGCAAUGCUGAACUCAAUACCACUAAGGCAUAGUUUCUCCUGUAAUUAAUGACUCCCUCUAUUAAAAUGUCAUUGGAUUUUCUCUCAUUUGAAAUGUUUCUGCUUUAAUAUCCAACCACUGGUUCUUGUUUGUGCUUUACCUUGCAAGCACUGCAUACAAUCUGGUACUCUAUACUGAUGAAGGCAUGAUGGCCCCGACUUAUCCUGUAACUGUAAUCACCUGGACAAGCUAAUCAGCCAGCCUUCUAAAGUUUUUUUCCUUUUCUGAGUCAGUUUUGCAUUUAUUUGCUGCACCUUCUCUAGUUUCCACCUUCAUAUAGGUUAGGAGAGGACAUUCUUUAUGCGUUCUAGUGUUUGUAUGUGCCUAAACUCAGAACAUCUAAUACAGUCAAAGGCAAGUUGGAAACCAUUUAUGGUUCUUCACUUCUCACAACCCCCUUGGCUUUAUUUAAGAAAAAGGCAUAUCCUCAUGUGGCCCUUUGGAGUCUCACACUGCUGCAUUCUUAAACUUGCACAUAUUUAACAUAUCUAUGUCUGAAGCUAUGAGAUCUUUAAGGGUUUGCUUCUGGUUUUGCCUAGAAGUUUUGGAGAUUGGCUCUUUCUUCCCUCCCUCCUUCCCUCCCUCCCUCCCUUCCUUCUCUUUUUCUUUCUUUCUGUCUUUAAUAGUAAGAGGACAGGGACAGAACUUGGUUUUCAGUAUUUACUAUGAGUUUUCAAUUGAUGUUUCUUGUUUGCUUGUUUGUGUUUUUGUUUGUUUGUUUGUUUGUUUGUUUGUUUUCCAGAUACCGAACUCAUACUUAUAAUAGUGGGUACAGUGUUUGGAGCCAUUAUCCUGAGUUUAGUGAUAGCAGUGUCUGUUGUUUCAGUAAGGUAAGAGUAUUUCUUGUAGUUGAAUAGAACCUGCACUGCUGCAUGUUUGUAGAGAACUAAGCAGAAGUUCAGGGAGGGGCAGGGCUGCAGAUGUUGUUGCAUGCCUAGUUAGGCAGACAAGUUAAUUUAAGUCAUAUAGCCAUUAGAAUUUGGUUUUGUCUGUGUGCUCUUCCCAGAAGUAUUUAUUCUCUUGCUGUGAAUUUGACUAUGGAAGCUUCAGCCAAGUCUUGAAAAUACACACCUGACCUACAAUACAAUCCAAUCCUAAUCCUGCCCUAGCCAGUACUGAUAUGGCAUCUGGAUGAGACUGAAGAAGGAUGCUGAUAUCAGAAGACUGUGUGGCCCAAAUUCAGGCCCUCUGCAGGGUUCCCUGUCAGCACUUCAGCUCAAGUGCUGCCACUUUCAGCUCAAUAGAGGUCACAUUUCCAGCCAAACAUCUCUUUAAAGCUUGCUAUUCCUGGUGUACUGGCACAUUCCCAAUUGCAGUUGCACCUCCUUACUUCUCUCCACACAGUAAAUAUAAAGCACCCAAGCAGCUCCUCUGCCUUUGCUCUCAGUGGUGUCCAGGUGAAGAUGUCCACAAGACCCCCCCAUAGCAGGCGUAGCUCAGCAGCGGGUGCACAAGCUGGUGGUGAGUGUCUGUGCGAUGUAUGGACUUGUGGUCACAGACAAUUCAAAUGCAUCAUUUGAAUGCCCAGCUUUGGCUGCAGGCACGAGGGCAACUUUACUGAGCAUAAUGAAUGCCUCAUUUCUUCCUCUGAAUAGAGCUAGUGGUGACGAAGGAAACUCCUUCAUGUAGGAACUAGUCAAAAGAGGCCAAAGUCCCCCUCUGUCUCUCCUAGCAGUCUAGCCCCAUCUGUGAUAAGAGAUGCCAAACUUUAUACUCUAUCAGUAACAAGGUACUUGGUAACAAGGGUUUUGCAAUAGAUAUGCUAGAAAAAUCUAUUGCAUGUUUCAGAAUAGAACUGAACAUUCAAAAUAAGAUGGGAGUGGACAACUCAUUGAAUUAGACUUACUCCAUAAAUAAGGUACACUAAAAGUUCUUUUAAAACCUCCUUUGUUCUUUCAUUUCCUCUGAAGAGCCAAACACAAACCAGAUCCAGAGAAGAGGAGCCUGAUAAAACCAGAAUAUUCCAACCCAAAUUUAUCUGAUGAGAGACAGAACACAACGUUCCCCAGAGUCCAGACCACUUCUGGCCAUGCGAACCCAGGAUAUCAGCCAAAUAAUCCAUAUGAGAUGAGUUCUGCAAAUAGAGGUCAUUUUCCAGAGAUGGAUUAUGCUGAUACGGUAAGUGUUUCACACAGGCCUACAGGAAUUACAUUCCUGAACCCUAGCGCUGCGGGCUACAGACUUUGUUGGAACCUGAAUUCCACUCUGUCCAUCCUCCCUUGAUCUAGAAGGCCAAAGUGGUAUAACGGCAACCAAACAACUUUCCCUUAAUACAGAGAUCAGCAUGCAUCUUCUGAAGACCUUUCUAAAGCCCCAAUAGUUAUCCUUGAGUCACAGGAGGAGUGCAUUUGAGCCUCCUGCAUUGCAAAAGGGUAAAGUGCCAUCAAAAAGCCAGCACAGAUUUUGCAUUGCUAUGGCCCAGUGGAGCCUAUUCAGCAGAGGAGUGUCAUUAGCUGGAAGGUGUGUUCUGAAAAAACUGCCUGCUUUAUCCUUGAGGGAGCUGCAGAUGGAGCAGGGACUUGAGAAGUGCUGUGCUGUGAUACGAUUGAUUUGUGGGGUUCUCCAUGCAGCAAGUAGAUAGGAAGCACAUUGUCCAUUCAAAUCUCUUUUAAAUGACGUUCUGGUGCAACCUCUGUGGUACAAGAGACCACUCCUGUUUAGUGAAGAAAAAUCUGUUUAACCGUAAUACAUCUACGUGUUUUACAGAACUGAGGCCAAAACCGCGAUAGAAGCAACAGAGAAACCUGAUAUUUUAAAAAAACACCCACUUUUAAAAAGCUACCAAUUAAGAGAAGAAAAACAUCUAUUUAAUUAGUUGACUGGUCAGAUUCACAUGGAUUUUGGCACUUCUAACUUUCUAAGAAAUUCAGCUUUUCACUUUUGAAAAUUCUGCAUGUUUUGUUUUCCUUGAGGGCUGGUGAAAGGGCUAUCAUGUGCAGCGUGCUACAUGCUGAACUGAGAAAGAAGCUUUCUGACCCAGAGCUACUCUUUAUUUCUUUUCUUCUUUUCUUUUCUUGUCCAAAUUCUCUGUAGUAUGAUGUAUCAAGGGAGCGUGGGGGCUUUAGGAUGCAGAGCAGAUACUAAGAAACCGAAGCCGUAGAAGGAUGAUCAUCGCAACAAUGGGUCAGAUCAAACAUUUUCACACCUUCUCACCAAUUCAGUCACUUCAGCAGAAGAGACACCAGAGUCCAUAACCCCAUAUUCUCUGAAGACUUUCUGAAGGAAGGCACCUGCUUGGAAGAAAUCAUGGACAACUCUCUGAAAUAAGGGGGAAAUGAAGCAGAAGGUAGGGAGAAGAAGAGGACUUUUAAAAGAACUAAUGGGCUCCAAUAAACAUUAGACUUCUUUCA
ensembl:lncRNA